AUUUUUCUUUACAAUUCAGAGAGUAUUUUGCUGGCCACACUUGACGAGCAUCAUCACCAUACAUGGCUCGUGGCGGCCACAGUGGACAGUGCAAUUCUAGAGCAAUGGUUCUCAACACUGUCCCCACUCUGGUCCACACCUAUCCGAAGCAGUGACUCACUUACUGGAGUUGGGGCGGGGGGGCGGUGAUUCUACAUUCUUUCAUAAGAGAUUCUGACAAACUUUUCUAAGGGAAUCAUUUCCUCUCCAAGCCCUUUGAGAAUUCUGUUUUCACGCUUCCUAUUCUGUUUCGUCUCAGUGAUAAUUAACAGACACUUCCUCAAGGGGAAAGGAGUUGCCCAGGCAUCUGGGCUCCUAUGGGGCCCAGCCCCAGAUAGGCGAUGGCUGUGGAGAGGUGUUUCCAGGGAGCGACCGACCGAGUCACAAGUUCAACUCAGGACUCUGGGGUUAUGGACAACAGUGAGUGACCCAUACAGCAUGUAACCUUUUUCUUUCUGUCUGAGCUGCACAGAGGGCAAAGGAUUUAAGAAUGCUCUCCCUACCCUCUUGGUCCACUUGGUGCAAGGAGAGAAUUUAUUCUCAAAAGAAGCCAGAGGAAGCAUUCCCUAUAGAGAGGCAGAAGGGACUUGAAACCCAUGCUCCAAAGCUGGUAAGCCAGGAGCAAAGGGAGGGAAAUGCAUUUAGCUCUAUCAUAGCCUUAAGAUGAGUGUGAGUGGCCAUCGGUGAGCAUGGCUGGGCCUCUGGAAGUGGCAAUGUCCCCUUCUUCAGGGAACAAGGUUGGCCACUCCAAACCCCAUUCAGCUCAAGGAAUUCCAUGGCAGUCUUCAAAAUGGGGGUGAGGUGGGGGAAGCAACACGAAGAGAGGACACGGCUAGCACUGAACCAUGCUCUCUCCCUGGAGGAUUGACUAAAAAUGGAAAAAAGAAAAAUGCACAUCACAAACAAAACUUAAAAGCAGACCACAGUCCCGUAGUAUCCUGAAUAAUCCUGCCACUAACCACAACUAAAUAUGCUGAAUGAAAUGUUUUUAAAAAUAUGUCUAAAUGCACUGCUGAGUUGGCAAGCACUCUUGUGAGGUCGAAAUGGACUGAGAGCUGAAAUUCAGAGACGUGAGAUAACUCUGAAACUGGCAGCUGCCCUGGGGCAUCUGCUCAAUAUCUGUGACCUUGAACUUCCGUUCUGAUGGCCACAAGAAUGCAGGAGAUAGGACACAAAACUCUUAGGGAAGGAGUCUGAGAGGAGCCUCCUGAAUGAAGUUGGGACGAGGGCUGUACCUGGGGUGUAAGACAAAUAGAAACAACCCUGCCCUGCAGGAGAGGACAGCAAGGAAACCUGGCCCUUCAAUCUUGGUUUUUGCUGAAAGGGAGAGCACUUCCAUCCAAGAAUUUGUAACCAUAAAGCUAGCCCUCAUGUGGGCAUGCAGCACAUAUUCACAAUAUCUGUGUGGUCUAAACCUCAAGCCCAGGCUGUAUUUACGAGUGGUCCUGAACUUUGUGAAUAUACUAAAAACCACUGAAUUAUACACAGGCAUACCUUGUUUUACUCUGCCUCAUUUUACUGUGCCUCACAGAUACUGCAUUUUCUUUUUUACCAAUUCAAGGUUUGUGGCAACCCUGCAUCAAGCAAGUCGACUCGCAUCAUUUUCCCAAUAGCAUUAGUUAAUUUUAUUUUUUUCAGUAAAAAAAAAUUUUUAAUGAUUUUUAUUUUUUUCCAUUAUAGCUGGUAUACAGUGUUCUGUCAAUUUUCUACUGUACAGCCAGGUGACCCAGGCACACAUACAUGUAUAUAUUCUUUUUUCUCACAUUAUUGUGCUCCAUCAUAAGUGACUAGAUACAGUUUCCAGCACUAUACAGCAGGCCAAUAGCAUUAUUUUAAACUAAGGUAUGCACAUUUUUUUUAGAUAUAAUGCUACUGCACACUUAAAAGACUAUAGUAUAGUGUAAACAUAACUUUUAUAUGCACUGAGAAGCCAAAAAAACUCAUCACAGUGGUCUGGAAUCAAACCCAUAGUAUCUUCAAGGUACUAUGCUAUGAAUUUUAUGGUAUUUAAAUUACAUCUCAAACUAUAAACACACACACACACACACACACACACAUCCUGUUGAGGAUGAAGAGGAAAAAGUGGUUCUAAUAUAAACUGUCUCUGAGUACUUGGAAGAAGCAAAUGUGAGUGCUCUCUAGAUGAACAUAACUUCAAUCCAAUUUAUCAAUAACUGAUAAAAUCCUAAUUAAUAAGAGAUCAUAGUAAAAAAACUACAUAAACAAGAAAAAAGACAUCUGUGGGCAAAAGUCAGCAAACUAGACAAGCAAUGACUUCAACUACUGGAAUUUUCAAAGAAUUAAGUAUAUAAAACUCCAUACAAAGAAAUAAGAAGAAAUUGAAAAUGAGAGAAAAAUAGACCAUAAAUAAUGGCAAACAAACAAACAAACUUGAGAGAAAUCUAAAUGGAAACUCUAGAAAUGAAAAAAUAAUAACAAUUAGGACACGCAACAGAGGAUUAUAUAUGGCUGUAAAGAGAAAUUAAGAAUUAUAAGAGAAGGAUGAGAUGAUAUGAAAAGAUAGAAAAUAUGAAAAAGAGGUGAGACAAGGAGGUAAAGUGAGAAAGUCCAACAUAUAGCUAGUUGGAGUUCUAGAAGGAGAUGUGAGAAAAAGGAGAAAUGGCAAUAUUCAAAAAGUUAAUGGCUAAGAAUUUUCCAGAAAUGAUAAAAAAUAUGACCCUUUAGAUUAAGGAAGCCCAACAGCUUCUUAGAAAGCAAAAUAAAAAAGAAAUAUAGGAGUUCCCGUCAUGGCGCAGUGGUUAACGAAUCUGACUAGGAACCAUGAGGUUGUGGGUUCGAUCCCUGCCCUUGCUCAGUGGGUUAACGAUCCGGCGUUGCCGUGAGCUGUGGUGUAGGUUGCAGACGCGGCUCAGAUCCCGCGCUGCUGUGGCUCUGGCAUAGGCCGGUGGCUACAGCUCCGAUUCGACCCCAGCCUGGGAACCUCCAUAUGCCGCGGGAGCAAAAAGACAAAAAAAAAAAUAUAUAUAUAUAUAUAUAAACCCAGGAAAAAAAUGACUAAUCAUCUAUAGAAGAUGGCAAUCAGAAUAACAGCUGAUUUCUCAACAGCAACAAGGGGAGCCGAAAGAGAGUGGAUGAAUAUUUUCAAUGUGCCGAGAGAGAAAAAAGUAGGCUUGUACACUUGGCAAAACUAUCUUUGAAAAAUAUCUUGCGACUAUCUUUGAAAACAGAAACAUUUUCAGUUAGAUUUGAGUUAAUCAACUACCUCCACUAGACCAAAGUAUGAAAAAUUUAUUUCAAGCAGAAGAAAAGAAAACUUAGAUGAAAGCUGUAAGAUGCAAGAAGAAAUAAUAAGUAAAGAAAAUGGUAAAUAUGUGCAUAAAUCUAGAGAAUCACUGAAUUUACAAAAUAGUAAUUUCUCAUCUGUGGGAUUAAUGAAACAAGACAAUAAAUCGUAGAUAGUAAUAGCCCCUAAGUCAGGAGGGAUGAUCAGAAUCAUGCUGUGUAGGAGAAAGGCAACUUUAGGUUGUGUCAAAAAUGCAUUUUAAAGUUCCUCCAGGAGUUCCUGUCAUGGCGCAGAGGUUAACGAAUCCAACUAGGAACUAUGAGGUUGCAGGUUCGAUCCCUGGCCUUGCUCAGUGGGUUAAGGAUCUGGUCCGUUGCCCAGAGCUGUGGUGUAGGUUGCAGACGCAGCUCGGAUCCCGUGUUGCUGUGGCUCUGGCGUAGGCCGGUAGCUACAGCUCCGAUUGGACCCCUAGCCUGGGAACCUCCAUAAGCCGCGGGAACGGCCCAAGAAAUAGCAAAAAUACAAAAAAAAAAAAAAGUGGCAAAAAAGAAUUAAAGAUAAUAUCUAAUAUCACUGCAGGGACUGACAACCGACACUUUCAUACAAUGUUGGUAAGAAUACAACUGGCACAUUCUUUCUGAGAGAAGUAUCACAGCCCAUUGCAAAAAGCCUUAAAAUAGACAUACGUUUUGACCCAGGAAUUCCAUUUCUGGAAAUUAAUUCCAAGGAAAUCAAGGAAGUACGCAACGUUUCAGGCAUUAGGAAGUUUAUCACUGCAUGUUUAUAAUAAUGAAAAUUGGAAACAACCUAAAUUUUUGCAAUGGGGAGUCGGUUAACUUAAUUAUGAGACAACAGUGUUUUGAAGGACUGACUAAAACACAUUAUUGAUACAGUUUUAUAUAUGCAAUACGCUUAUUUUGUAUUGUUAAGUGAAAACAAAUUACCUAACAGUAUUUACCCCAUGAUCCCAUGAUUUGAAAAAUGUAACAAAUAUUAAAAAUAUAAAUUAAAAAAAAAUGCCUCUCCUAAGAAAAAGAACAAAAAAGGUUCAUAUCUUGGUAAAAGGACUCCAGGUCUAGAAGCCACCGUGCAAGGAGAUUUCUUAUAUCCCCAGACCUGCCCCUUAAGGUAGGUGAAGCCUGUAGACUUGAAAUAUAAAGUUGGCUCAUGCAAGCUGCUAACAACCCAGCAUGUGGGUUUGGGCUCCAGUGCUGUUUCUGAAACAUAAGCUGAAGGAUGGAGGAGUUGACUUGUGUCUGGGCCACUCGGAUGCCUAACCACCCUCAGCCCCAGCCCCAGGCACGGCCACAGCUAGCGUCCUGAUCGGGAGUCGUGCCAGUGGCCAUCUCUCCAAAGCAGCGAGAGGUAAGACACACCCCUGGUCGGUGCUGCCACUGCUGGGCCCUACUGACCUUGGAGACCUCCUGGCUGGCGGUGCCACCUCCACCCUCUUCACCUUAGUCCUGGGAGUCCUGGAUUGGUGAGAAACUGUUGCCUUUCAUGUUCCUCUUUAUUUCAGGAUCUUUCCUUUUCUUUCCCCAGGAACAUAGGAGGCAAUAUUAAAAAGUUGCUUGCAGGAGUUCCAGUCAAUAACAAACCCGACUGGUGUGCUUGAUGCAGGUUUGAUUCCUGGCCUCAUUCAGUGGGUUAAAGAUCCAGCAUUGCCGUGAGCUGUGGUGUAGGUUGCAGACGCAGCUCGGAGCCUGCGUUGCUGAGUCAGUGGUGUAGGCCGGCAGCUGUAGCUCCGAUUCAACCCCUAGCCUGGGAACUUCUGUGUGCUGUCGGUGCGGCCCUAAAAAGACACCAACAAUGACAACAAAAAGGUUGUUUGUCAAAGUUACCCAUACCUUGUGACUCUGUGUUCUCUUUUGAAAGGUCCUCUGAUCUAGAGGAAAAGGAGCCUGCUUCCAGCUUCAUAUCUGGAUCUAGAAAUUCAGUUCUUAAUAAGAGAGGCUGUAACACACAGACUGUGGUUACAUUCAGGCUGUCUGGGUUAGACUUCUGGCUCUACCACUUAAUAUGCCCAGUAACGUGAGGCAAAAAACACAUCUCUGUGCCUUGGCUUCUUCAUGUGCAGAGUGGGGAUAACAGUACCUAGCACACUAGGCUGUUAUGAAGCACACGCGUGACAGCGUUGACCAGUAUUUAGCACACAGUUGCUACUAUGUACAUCAGAGCUAUUCAAUAGAUUGAGAUCUAUCAACUUUUAACAAAAGAUAUGGAAAUAACCUUGGCAGCCACUGCUAACCAAGCAUGCACAGCUCAGUCCCCCGAUUCUUCUCCAGGCAGCAGAUCAGAGUGGGUAGCAGAGGUAAAAGCCCCCAGGCCCUGACGGCAGCUAGGACUGCACCCUGAUGAAAGGUCUGAGGCUGGCUGAGUGGCUGCUGGAGCAGCAAGUGACGCUCUCUUGGAAGGUGCAGGGAGAAGUGGGGGCACAGGGUGAGACCCCAGGCCGCUUCUGGCAUGACAAGCCCCUGAUGUCACUGGCUGGG
rnacentral:lncRNA from 1 species